UUCAUAUUCACAACAUUGCAGUCUGCUGUCAAGGCUCUUUAGUAGUGUUUGUAGUAGAUGUGUACCAAACUGAAACCGCAUUUUUAGUCAUCAAAUAACCCAAGACAAAUAGUACUCCUGGAAAGAGUAGAACAUUGAAAGCCCAAAUGAAAAGAAUGUCGUGGACAUUUCGAGUGCCUUUUCAAAACAUAAAGAAUUUCGUUGUUUCACGACCCCCUGCAGUAAUAUUUGCAUUUUGCAUCGCUUCGUUUAGUAUACUUACCCUCUGUUUGUCACUAUACAUCAAACAUACAUCAUCACCACU